rnacentral:rRNA from 1 species
UUUUGUUGGAGAGUUUGAUCCUGGCUCAGGACGAACGCUGGCGGCGUGCUUAACACAUGCAAGUCGAGCGGAAAGGCCCUUCGGGGUACUCGAGCGGCGAACGGGUGAGUAACACGUGAGCAACCUGCCCUAGG